GGCUAUGUAGCUCAGUUGGUUAGAGCACCGCACUCAUAAUGCGGGGGUCACAAGUUCAAGUCUUGUCAGACCCACCA
rnacentral:tRNA from 1 species